rnacentral:rRNA from 1 species
GGGGAAUAUUGGACAAUGGGCGAAAGCCUGAUCCAGCCAUGCCGCGUGUGUGAAGAAGGUCUUCGGAUUGUAAAGCACUUUAAGUUGGGAGGAAGGGCUGCUGGUUAAUACCCUGCAGUUUUGACGUUACCAACAGAAUAAGCACCGGCUAACUUCGUGCCAGCAGCCGCGGUAAUACGAAGGGUGCAAGCGUUAAUCGGAAUUACUGGGCGUAAAGCGCGCGUAGGUGGUUGGGUAAGUUUAAUGUGAAAGCCCCGGGCUCAACCUGGGAACUGCAUCCAAGACUGGCAGGCUAGAGUACGGUAGAGGGUGGUGGAAUUUCCUGUGUAGCGGUGAAAUGCGUAGAUAUAGGAAGGAACACCAGUGGCGAAGGCGACCACCUGGACUGAUACUGACACUGAGGUGCGAAAGCGUGGGGAGCAAAC